rnacentral:rRNA from 1 species
GACGAGGGAUCCUAGCGUUGUUCGGAAUCAUUGGGCGUAAAGCGGGUGCAGGUGGCUUUGUAAGUCAGGUGUGAAAGCCCGGGGCUUAACCCCGGAAGUGCAUUUGAUACUGCGAAGCUUGAGUGCGGAAGAGGCUACUGGAAUUCCUGGUGUAGUGGUGAAAUACGUAGAUAUCAGGAGGAACACCGGAGGCGAAGGCGGGUAGCUGGUCCGACACUGACACUCAGACCCGAAAGCGUGGGGAUCAAACAGG